rnacentral:lncRNA from 1 species
AACCGCCCCACCUCUAAGCUGGUCCAAACGUUUCUGACACUUUUGCCUGACAAUUUUCCCAUGUUGUAAAUCUGUAGAAAACCUAUGAAGCCUACUUCCGGCUAAACAAACAAAAAACUUUUGCUAAAUUUCAUUCAGUAGAUUAUUUCAUUUGAAUAUGUUCAGCUUGUGAGGUCUCUGCCCAUCUUUAAGAGAUAACAUUUUCUCAGAUCAUCCCAAACUACCCACUUAAGCUUUCAUUUCAUUUGCUUUAACAUAUUUACCCAUUCUUGACCUUUUCCCUUCUUUCAAAAACAGAGAGCGCUUCGAUAUUCUACCUGUUAGAGUACUUUCUUAGACAGCCCAAAUCUCGCCCCUGCCUCUUAUUGCUACGAUUGAAUCAGCCUACAGGUAGGGGCUGUAAGGUCCUCACGAAAAACUAGUGGUGCCAAAAAUCAAAACACAGGAAAUAUCUGUAUAUUUAUGCGUGGUUUCCUGAGGUUGCUCUAGCAGAGAAUGAAAAUGUCCCAGGAAAGAAUGGGGCCCAUUAAAAACAUUGCUGGUCAUUAACCCACAAAUAUUGUAAAUAUAGUGAGUUUGUGUGUGUGUCUCAGGGGUGCACCGUCAUCAAUACGUGUAACUGAUGAAAAAACUCAACUCUCCAGUUCCCUUCUCUCACAUGGUUGAACCAGGAAACGAACCCGAGCUUUGCCACAACCUGUGAGGAGGGCGCUAAAUCGGGGUCAUGUGUUGUCAACACUUGUAGGAGUUCCCAUGCCCUUACUGAUUACAAAGGGAAAAAGAUUUUGCACAUAAAUAUUUUUAACACUUCAAGUAUAAAAAAAAGAGACAAAAAUUUCAAUUUAGUAACAUUCUGGGGCCCCAGAAUCCUUUUGUAAUACAAAAUUCAGGCUUCCUAAGAAACAGCCCAGGAGACUAGAAUAUUAGGUUCUGCUGUUGGUUAAACUCCUUUUGUUUUCAUGCCCUCACAUUCUCAAAGCACGAUGUUUUAUUUGUGGGAACUGUAUACAAAAUUUGGAAAAUUGAACAAAAACAAACACAUAUAGUCUGCCUUCUGGGUCAUGAGAGUUCAAAAUUCACCAGCCCCACAACGUGUAGGAUCUUCUCAAACAGCAUCAGGGCACAUGGGGCACAGACACAGAACACGUGCCACCCUCAUUCCUCUUUUGGGCCAUGAAAUCGCUGUCUUAGAACCAACAAAGAGAGAGUCCCAGGUUCAGCAGAAGGCAUUCCAAGGAUGUGGAAAAUAAGAUUUCUGGCUUCUAGGUCCUGAAUCUACAAACCACAAACAUGGGACAUCUGGAAACAUUGAGUUGUGUGUUGCAAGACAGAGGUGAGGGGGUGGUGAGGCCCCUGUGUGGUCUUUGCCGCCAUUUUAGGCUCUGGAAAGAGCUCUCUCUCCAUCUCCAUCCUUCUCCUCACGGCAGCUGUUGGCAUAACCAGGGAACUUGAGGACACGAGCCAGUCAGCAGCUGAGAUGGGUUCUCACAGGGACCCUCAUGGAUUCUGUUCUGGGGGUUCUAAUUAUUUAUGUGAACUUGGGAAGCCUGGAGACCUGCCCACCUGGGCUAAAGGCAGGCAAGUCUUCUCUGGACAUGUAGAGCCAGCUGCACCAGUUUAGUCUUGUCUAAGGAACAAAGGGCCGAGCUACGAGCUCUGGAGAGCAGCAGAACCCAUGGCGAGCCCACGACAAAGGCCACAAAGGAAAGGAAGCUAAUUUAAAGCAAAGGGUUCGCAGUGGCCCACUCUCCUCUGCACCAGGCGGGCGCACUUCCUCAGUACUUCCACUUCUGCGGCUCGAUCGCGUGGCUCACUCUUCUCUGAACACCUUCUCUGCCUUCACUUCCUUUGAAGAUUUAGGGAACAAGAGUUGACACAAUAGGUAUGCAUGACGGGAAAUGCAGACGAUAAAAACAAAAACACUUUACCUUUCACUCAAAUCUUCACAAAUUUCUGAAUAAGUUGGCUUUUUCGCUCUAUGGUCCUGAUUCAAGCAGCCACAGCAGCUCCUGUGUCAGCACAAGGACAACCCAGGGGCGUGAGUUCUGCUCCCCCCAACACCUCUGCGUGUCCCCAGGACUCGAGAAAUCCUGGUUCCAAGUGAAUAGGCCGGAGGUUCUUACGGCUUCCUCGUGGUGUUAAGGCUUCUGUUCUCAGACUCUGGUGCGGGCGCCCUGCCUCAGGGCGCAGGAGGCAGCUGUGGACGGGCCUGGUCGGCUUUCAUCAAACGCUCCAUGCAGCCUCACACUGAGGAAGUCAAGGCGCCAUCACUGCCACUGGGAUGCUCAGCAGAGGACCUGCCUCUGUGCACCCCACGAGGCACCGAGGGCAGCUGUGGACAGGAACCUGAGAGUUCUGACCAAAAUCCACGAAACCCACUCACGAGGCUCCCUGGAAAGGCCACAGAGUUAUGAGCCUGAAGAAGAAACCCCGCUCUGUGAGUUACGUUGGAAAGAAGAUAAGUGACGCUGACUGUGCUCCUCAUAGAGACCUGCAUUAACGGUUCUUCAUGUAUGAGCCACAUCCGUGCAGAGCCCUGUGGGGUGGGCAGUUCGCCCUGUUUGCAGAUGAGCCAGGGUCACACAGCCUGACCACAGUGCCAGAAUCCAGACCCCAAAACCGCCCUCCGCUGCUCCCCCAACCCCAUCUUCCAGAGGACCCACUUAACCCCUCGCCCUUCGUGGCUGCCUUUGAUCUGGGCACAGACCCUUCUGUGGCUGGCCAGUGCCCCACAGCUGGUCCCUCUCAGGACAUCAGUGGGUCUGGACAUG